rnacentral:ncRNA from 1 species
GCGCGGUUCCGAGCGGUCGCUCCCUCGCGAGGUGCCGCGGGUCAGCGGCUGACGCCAGCCACCUUCCCGACCCGUCUUGAAACACGGACCAAGGAGUCUAACAUGUGCGCGAGCCGCGGGGCAGUACGAAACCCGUAAGGCGAAAUGAAGGUGAACGCCGGCGCGGUCCGGCGGAGGUUGGAUCCCGUCCCGUCGGGGCGGGCGCACUACCGGCCGAUCUUCUCCGCCCUGUCGGCGAGGUCGAGCGAGAGCGUGCAAGUCGGGACCCGAAAGAUGGUGAACUAUGCCUGAGGAGGUUGAAGCCAGAGGAAACUCUGGUGGAGGACCGUAGCGAUUCUGACGUGCAAAUCGAUCGUCAAAUUUGGGUAUAGGGGCGAAAGACUAAUCGAACCGUCUAGUAGCUGGUUCCCUUCGAAGUUUCCCUCAGGAUAGCUGGCGCUCUGUCGCAGUUUUAUCUGGUAAAGCGAAUGAUUAGAGGUCUUGGGGGCGAAACGCCCUCAACCUAUUCUCAAACUUUAAAUUGGUAAGAAGCCCGACUCGCUCGUUUGGAGCCGGGCAUGGAAUGCGAGUGCCAAGUGGGCCACUCUUGGUAAGCAGGACUGGCGAUGCGGGAUGAACCGAACGCCGGGUUAAGGCGCCCGACGCGACGCUCAUCAGAGCCCACAAAGAGGUGUUGGUUGAUAUAGACAGCAGGACGGUGGCCAUGGAAGUCGGAAACCGCUAAGGAGUGUGUAACAACUCACCUGCCGAAUCAAUCAGCCCUGAAAAUGGAUGGCGCUCGGAGCGUCGGGCCUAUAC